UACGGGGGGGGCAAGCGUUGUUCGGAAUUACUGGGCGUAAAGGGUGCGUAGGCGGGUCUUUUAAGUCAGGGGUGAAAUCCUGGAGCUCAACUCCAGAACUGCCUUUGAUACUGAAGAUCUUGAGUUCGGGAGAGGUGAGUGGAACUGCGAGUGUAGAGGUGAAAUUCGUAGAUAUUCGCAAGAACACCAGUGGCGAAGGCGGCUCACUGGCCCGAUACUGACGCUGAGGCACGAAAGCGUGGGGAGCAAACAGG
rnacentral:rRNA from 1 species